rnacentral:rRNA from 1 species
GACGGAGGAUGCAAGUGUUAUCCGGAAUCACUGGGCGUAAAGCGUCUGUAGGUGGUUCGAAAAGUCCACUGUUAAAAAUUGAGGCUUAACUUCAAAGAUGCCGUGGAAACUUUCAAACUAGAGUAUGGUAGGGGUAGAGGGAAUUUCCAGUGGAGCGGUGAAAUGCGUAGAUAUUGGAAAGACCACCGAUGGCGAAGGCACUCUACUGGGCCAUCACUGACACUGAGAGACGAAAGCUAGGGGAGCAAAUGGG